UGUUAGGACUGAUAUGCAGAAGAUAACACCACUGAAACCAGGAAGGACAUUAUGAUCUGCAACCGUCUAUGCGCUCCCUGUACUUACCACAUAGGCUCGGACGUGACAUGACGGUGCGGUCUUCCGACACACACCUGUAAACAAAGAUCAUAAUAUGAAGCAGUCCAUCAUGAGAACAGCAGGCUUCCUAUUUGUGAAAGUCCUCUUCACUACACACGUUUUAUGCAGUAUACCUCAGCUGAUCUGCCCUGACAUAUCCUACCUUAAUGAAUCUGCCAGCAUCACCUGCUUUACAAACUCACCAUUCAAGUUUCUCCGGUACGAAACACCGG